rnacentral:rRNA from 1 species
CUGGGCUAGACAACAGUGGACCGUCCUAGAAAUAGGAUUUUCCCUUCGGGGACCACUGGUUCAGGUGCUGCAUGGCUGUCGUCAGCUCGUGCCGUGAGGUGUUGGGUUAAGUCCCGCAACGAGCGCAACCCUCGUACUUAGUUGCCACCAUUCAGUUGGGCACUCUAGGUAGACUGCCGGCGUUAAGCCGGAGGAAGGUGGGGACGACGUCAAGUCAUCAUGGCCCUUAUGUCCAGGGCCACACACGUGCUACAAUGGACGGUACAAAGGGUCGCAAACCCGUGAGGGGGAGCCAAUCCCAAAAAGCCGUUCUCAGUUCGGAUUGGAGUCUGCAACUCGACUCCAUGAAGUUGGAAUCGCUAGUAAUCGCGGAUCAGCACGCCGCGGUGAAUACGUUCCC